rnacentral:lncRNA from 1 species
AUGGCUAUCAGAUUGCCUAGUAUUAUGCAAGCAAAGCAGAUCCUCUGCCGGGGGAGUUUGUUUGCUAACUGAGCAGCUUCAACAUCUUUAGUAGGUGUUCCAAAAGGCUUCUUCGCAGUGUAUGUUGGAGAGAAUGAAAAAAAGAGAUACAUGGUUCCAAUUUCAUUAUUGAGUCAGCCUUCAUUUCAAGAGUUGUUAAGUAAGGCAGAGGAAGAAUUUGGAUUUGACCAUCCAAUGGGUGGACUCACAAUUCCUUGCAGAGAAGAAAUCUUCGUUGAUCUCACUUCUCGGUUGUAUGGCUUGUGA